UACGUAGGGUGCAAGCGUUGUCCGGAAUUAUUGGGCGUAAAGAGCUCGUAGGCGGUUCGUCGCGUCGGCUGUGAAAUCCCGAGGCUCAACCUCGGGUCUGCAGUCGAUACGGGCGGACUGGAGUUCGGCAGGGGAGACUGGAAUUCCUGGUGUAGCGGUGAAAUGCGCAGAUAUCAGGAGGAACACCGGUGGCGAAGGCGGUUCUCUGGGCCUGUACUGACGCUGAGGAACGAAAGCGUGGGGAGCGAACAGG
rnacentral:rRNA from 1 species